GAUGGACGCUGGCGGCGUGCCUAAUACAUGCAAGUCGAGCGAACAGACGAGGAGCUUGCUCCUCUGACGUUAGCGGCGGAUGGGUGAGUAACACGUGGAUAACCUACCUAUAAGACUGGGAUAACUUCGGGAAACCGGAGCUAAUACCGGAUAAUAUAUUGAACCGCAUGGUUCAAUAGUGAAAGACGGUUUUGCUGUCACUUAUAGAUGGAUCCGCGCCGCAUUAGCUAGUUGGUAAGGUAACGGCUUACCAAGGCGACGAUGCGUAGCCGACCUGAGAGGGUGAUCGGCCACACUGGAACUGAGACACGGUCCAGACUCCUACGGGAGGCAGCAGUAGGGAAUCUUCCGCAAUGGGCGAAAGCCUGACGGAGCAACGCCGCGUGAGUGAUGAAGGUCUUCGGAUUGUAAAACUCUGUUAUUAGGGAAGAACAAAUGUGUAAGUAACUAUGCACGUCUUGACGGUACCUAAUCAGAAAGCCACGGCUAACUACGUG
rnacentral:rRNA from 1 species